CUCCUGUAGAUGAAAAAGACCCAGCUCGAUUACCCCCCUUCAAAGUAGGCAGAUCCACGACUCUUCUUCCGCUAUUCUCUUCCUUGGUUGAGCCGCACUGUCAUUUAUCUUGCAGGCGAGGUACCCUCCGGGACUGACUUUCUUGGAGUUAAUUUUGCGCUGGUUUGCCUUGGCCGUGACACUGAAGCACUUAACCGGGAGCUAGGCUGGAGGUGGAGUAAGAAGGGGAAGCGGAGAAAAAGAAGGCCACACAAUGACAAUAAUAGAUUUCAUAGACGUGAUUGAUGAUAUUGUUGACUUGAGCGGCGAUGAGGAGACUGUUGAAAGGGCGACGUUGCUUGGUACGCAGGCUCUUAUGAUCCUAUCUGGUGAAGGAAGGCAAGAUGCACAGGCUGGUGAAGGAAGGCAAGAUGAUACUGAGUCCGGAAAUGCUUUGGUAGCCGCCACAUCUUCUCCAAGUAUGGAAAAGGCGCCUCUUGAUACGGCUGUAUCACAGAACUCUCCUCACUCUCCAACAGCAGCGCUAUUCGCCAGCUCAGCUACUACCACUCCGACGGCUCUGUCCUCUGAACGUAGUGAUGCGAAGCUGGUGAGUGUGAAGGUGAAACGGCCACACGGGGGGUACUCCUAGGAGAAGUCCUAGACUUGAAGAGAAUAAAAGGUGCCGUAACAAGUCUACAGAAGAGCUGGCAGCCGAUUGCAAGAGCCCUAACAUGCUUGAGCAAGCAGAGGAAUCAGCUGCCUCUAGUCAGAAUGCAGGUUCUGCAAAGAUCCUCUAUACAAACCCUGCAAACUAAGGUAGUUGAAUGAAUAUGAUCCUCUAUGAAACUGUCUAAGUGUCAUUGCCCUAGAGGGAUCGGGACUUGUGUUGCCCCAUCUAUCUCAGGAAAUUAUAUUUGGCCCUUUGUCUCGAACCACUAGGGCAUCUUGUAAAAUUAUGGAACUAUGGU